rnacentral:rRNA from 1 species
AUUGAACGCUGGCGGCAGGCCUAACACAUGCAAGUCGAACGGUAACAGGGAUCAGCUUGCUGAUUCGCUGACGAGUGGCGGACGGGUGAGUAAUGUCUGGGAAACUGCCUGAUGGAGGGGGAUAACUACUGGAAACGGUAGCUAAUACCGCAUAACGUCGCAAGACCAAAGAGGGGGACCUUCGGGCCUCUUGCCAUCGGAUGUGCCCAGAUGGGAUUAGCUAGUAGGUGGGGUAACGGCUCACCUAGGCGACGAUCCCUAGCUGGUCUGAGAGGAUGACCAGCCACACUGGAACUGAGACACGGUCCAGACUCCUACGGGAGGCAGCAGUGGGGAAUAUUGCACAAUGGGCGCAAGCCUGAUGCAGCCAUGCCGCGUGUAUGAAGAAGGCCUUCGGGUUGUAAAGUACUUUCAGCGGGGAGGAAGGGAGUAAAGUUAAUACCUUUGCUCAUUGACGUUACCCGCAGAAGAAGCACCGGCUGACUCCGUG